rnacentral:rRNA from 1 species
AUGGCCCACUUGCCAUCCCCUCUCUCUCAUCUCUCCUCUCCUUUCCUUUCUCUCUUUUCUGUCUCCUCUCUCCUCUCCUAUUCCUUCCACCACGGCACCACCUACCACACACAGCCGGAGCAGGGCUCGAGCGGCUGGAGCGGAGCAUGGCCGGGGCGGGGCUCGCGCUCGCGCGGCCGGAGCAGAGCAUGGACGGGGAGGGGUUCGUCUUCUUCGUCCUUGCAGUGGCCGUCUCCGCCCGCGCACUCCACGGCGCCCUCGGCGUACAGGGAGCAGCUGGAGGCGUGCCAGAUGGAGGCACUCCACGGCGCCCUCGCCAGCAUCGCCCGCUCCCUCGCCGCCAACGACAAGGCCGAGGCCGACGACCACGCCCAGCCCCCGCCGUCCUUCCCCGUCCGCCACCAGUACCUCGGCCUCUGCCCGCGCCCCGCGCUCGAGACCGUCUGGCUCUCCGCUCCCUCGUGCGCCGCGUGUAUGACUGCGUGGACACGAGCGACCCGCGGCCCGUCGCGCCGUUCGGCCACGACGACCCCUCGGCGUUCGCGUGCUUUGCCAGCGAGCAAACGAGGCGAUGCUAGGGGCCGCGGAGCUGCUGCGGGGUGCAGGUUUGAACAAAGGAGCUGCUGCAGGAUGCAGCCUUGUUCGCAUGUGUGUAGGCCGAGCUGCUGCUCGUGGCCAUGGCGAACAUGGUGGCCGGAGCUCCUGCCUGCGGGGGAUGGCGUCUACAAUGCAUGGAACGGAGCAGAGAGAGAGGGUUGCGAGGAGCUACUGCUCACCAGGGGUGUCAGGCAAGCACAACCACUCCUCCCCUGCCGUCGGCGUGGCCGACGCGCUUUCAGUCGGUCAAAGUUUCAGAACGAGCUUGCCGCAGGCGACGUCAUCCUCACGGCCGACUGCAACCACGCCAUCGAGAUCAUGAUGGCCGUGCUGGCCUCGCCUGGCGCCAACGUGCUGCUGCCGCGGCCGGGGUACCCAACGUACGAGGCGCGCGCGGCCUUGUGCGGCCUCGAGUUCCGUCACUUCAAUCUUAUGCCGGAGAAGGGGACGACGUGGGCGCGGCCCCGUCCCCUUCCCUUCCCGCCAUGUCUCGCGCGCUCGCCGCCGCGGUCAUGGUCAAGGCACGCGCGCUUGGGCGGUUCGCGUUGUGGUGAUGGCGGGGGUACGUGCCUGGGGGUCAACGACUGGAUAUAUUUCCACCCCCACGCUAAAUGUUUCGUCGGCAGCCCCUCAAGAGGCGAAAAAAAAGCCUCCUGA